AUAAACCACAUGUAAACAAUGGCAAAAGAAGAUGGGAAAUGUUUAAAAGUUUCUGGCUGAGGAGCAUCAGCGGGCUCCUGGGAUGGUCUGAGGGAGGUGAAUGAGGAGCCCAACAACUGAGGAUGGCUGAAGAGACCCAUCCAAGUGCUUAACUUGAAAGAGGACGACAAUGGAUUUAUUCAUGAAAAAAUAGAUUUGCUUUCCUGGAAACUUGGAGAACAACUGUUAUUGGCUUUAAUUUUGUCUUACAGAAAUGGUUGGUCAGAGGCAUCUGAGAAAAGACCAGAAGUGUUUGGGAGGUGAGGUGAGAUUGCUGCAGUCAGAUUGCCCAGGCUGCACAUUAUCACACAGUGGCUCUUUUGAAGUUUGGGAGGAAACUUUGUUGUGUGUGGGAAAGGCAGUGUAUGUUGUCCAGAGCUUGAUGAGCGUUUUCAGUCUCAAGUAAUGUUGUGGGAUAGCAGCUGUGUGGGUUUUAAAUGAAUUAGUUCAGUGCAGCAGAAAACCACGAAGCUUGAAACCAGCAGAAGCUGUUUUCAGCCAGACAUGGAUCUGCAGACAGAUUUGUGGAAGUGCUGAGUAUUUGGGAAGAUGUAGGGAGAUCUGGUGAAACACCUCAUACUGGGGUGCUCCUUCACAAACUAUACGCGUAACACACUGCAUCGUUUCAGUGUUCCCCUGUCCCAUGACCUCAUGCUGGGUAAGAGAAGCCAUCACCUCAAAAAAUAGUGCUAAUAGGGAAAGAAGAGCCCAUCUGUUUUCUCUGACACAUCGUAUAGUCUAUUGAUAGUCUGUAUCCAACUUGAAUGGCUCCUUAGUUUAGAGGGGCUGAAAGCUUGUAGAUCAUUUUCCCAUAUGUGUCUGGCUCGGGGCUCUGUUGUAGCUCUCGCUCAGAGCUGCUCUGCCUGCACAGUCUGCUUGUUAGUGCUAAGUUAUCAGGGAUAUCUGGAGAACUGGUUUGUUGCUCUUUCAGUAAAAUGCAAACUCUCUUCCCUGGAUUAAAACCUAAGAAACUUUCCCUAUAUCCAUGGAAGGAGGUACCCUGAGCGUUCUUAAAAAAAAAAAAAAAAACAUAUUUGUGGGUGAGACUCUGGAAGGUAGGAAAGAAAUGGCUUCUCUCGCAAACACAUGCAGAUUCAAAAAAUCUCCACAAUACUUGAAACAUUAAAACUUUGGACUGAUUCCCUAAGAGCUGUAGUCAUACCCCUGAGAGGAGAAGGAUGUUGAGUCAUAGUGAAGAAAGGAAAGAAAAGCGGAAUGUUUUUUCUAUUACAAUCAUUACAGAGGUCAGACGCAACCAAGACAGACAGAUGAACAACAAAAACACUGGUUAAGUGAUUCAGAAGGGUAGGUUUUCUGGAAUUAGCCAGAAACAUUUCAAGGACUCCGAAAAAAAUAUGGAAAUGGAUUGUCAUUCCAAUUUAUCUGAGCAUACGUGCCUUUCUAGUCUAAUGCCUCAAGAAGGAUUAACUUUUAAAUGAUUUGAUGGAAACCUUGUGAAGGACUUACACUUCGGCUAUCUGAAGGCUAUCGUAAAUAUGUCAGCAGCAGAACAGUGAAUGAUAACAUUAUGUUUUGCUUUCGAAGUAUCUGACAGUGGCAAAAAGACUUGAGAGCAUGUGAUCCUUUGCGGUAUGGUAUAACAUGACCUUAUUUUAAAACAACUAAGUAAGCCACUGUUUUGCUUAAAUAACUUCUUCAUUAUGAUCACCCAGUUUGCUUUUGUUACGCAGGAAGAUUGCAAAAGUGCGUGAUGUAUUUGAAGGCUUGGUUAAGACUGGAAAGCCUACCAAAAUUAGGAAAGAACAUCAUCCAUUCAAAUACUUGGCUAGGUUUUAAUUUCACAACAUACUGUUGUUAUUGUAACCUACUGCUUCUAUAUUGAUCGUAAAAUUACUUGCCAGGAAAAGCGUUUGACUGUUCAAUGUAUUAAUUGCUAUUACUCUUAUUAUAUCUUUCUGGGAAAAAAAAAAGGGAUUUAUUUUUUGGAGGUUGUAUGUUUUCCCAUUUGUAACAACAGAGGAAAAAUUGAUUCAGUGCCUGCUUCUGUUUAGAACUGCAAAUUAAAUGCCUCACAACAGAAGCUGUUCAGUUUCUGGUACUGAUUACCAGGUUGGAGGCUCAUCUGAGAAGGUGGAGCGAUCGCAAGUCUGCACGUCACUGCGGUGAUCCAGUGGGAGGAGGCAGCCCGCCUGGGCCCUUCAGCCGUCGAUCUGGAUUUCCUCCUGUGUGCAGGCGAUUGGCCACUCAGUGCAUGGUUCGCUUGGGUGUGACUGCGAGCCCUGCUCAGUUCUGUGAAAGUCACAAAGAGCCCAGAAUUGCUACGUACAGCAAAAGGUAACCCGAUAAUGCAUUGAAGACACAGGAGCUAUCACCACCGACGUGUCAAAAACAAGAAAUAUACCUGCAUGUCUCUGUACUGGGUCUGUCUGAGAUGGAGUCCCUUCUCAAAAAAUUAAAUAAUAGGUUAUGUACAAAGUAGUGGUCGUCUCUUGUUGGGAGGAUGAACAGCAAGUUUACAUUUGGAAAGUGUACUUGCAAACCUGGAACUGGUUGUAGAAAUGACAUUAUUGAUUAUAUAGUGUCAUUUCCUGAUGGCUUGGUUCUGUGUUAGUCUUUUGUUAAUCUUUUGAGUGUAUUGCCUAGGUACAGUAAUCAUCUUGAUUGUUUCCUGUUCCUGCUUUCCUUUUCCCUUCUUUGGACAGUUGAUGAUCCACAACUCACAGCUUUUUCCAGAAACAUUUUGCAGCUGUAUUUCUCGCAGUGCAAAGUAGGAGCUUCUUGAAAACACUUUAGAAGAGAGUUUAUCUCGGGAACAUGGUUUCUUAUCCGCUUUUCCCUUGCAGAAUCACAGGAUGGAAGAGUCUGGCAGGGCCCUCUGGGUCCACCUGGCCCAAGCCCUGCUCCAGCAGGGACACCCACAGCAGGGUGCCCAGGGCCAUGACCAGGCAACUUUUGGACAUCUCUAAGGAUGAGAUUUCACAGCCUCUAUGGGCAGCUUGUGCCAGUACCGAAGUGCUUCCUGGUGUUCAGAGGGAACCUUCUGUGCUCCAGUUUGUACCUGUUGCCUCUUGACCUGGUGCUGGCACCACUGAAAAGAGGCAGGUUCCAUCCUCUCUGCACCCUCCCUUCAGUUAUUUGUAUACAUUGAUGAGAUCACUUUGAGCCUUCCCUUGUCUGGGAUGAAGUACUGAGGAAGGGCUGAAGUAGGCACAGCUCCCUAGUCAGCGACUAAGCUGCCUUAUCUACUCAGCAAAAACCUCUGAUGCAUUUCUGCUACUUUCUAACAACUACAACAUUUUUUGAGACAUGCUUUUUGUCAGCCAAAUGUGUAAAUGUUACAAUUACUGUCAGUGUAGAUCUAGGGUUUUUGUUGGGGCCUGGACACUGUCCCAGGCAGAGCUUAUCUUGCUUGAGAGGUUUUCAAGAGACUCCACAAAAACACCCCCAAAUGUUGGUGAAUACUUAUUUAGAUAUAUUGGAUCACAGUCCAGUAUAUUCCUUUAUGCCUUGGGCUAUAUUCAAAAUCCAAACUGCACAGAUGUAUGUUAGGUUUGAGCACAGUUGUGAAAAGCAGCCUGCAUGUUGGUGAUAGGUUCUGAUGUAUAUUUUGUAUCUUUCCUGAAAUGAAACCCUAUCUUCUGUUUGCAGAGCUCACGCAGGGGCUUCAGUCCUCUGAAAAACACAGUUUGACUGCUCUACCUCUCAAUAAACAUUUGGAGGGAGGGGUGUACAUUGCUCACAGGAGCUGUUUGGUCCAGGGCGGGCUGUACCAACACAUUGCCUGCUUCUCACCUCCCCCACAUAGGAGUCACUUGGAAAAUUUGGGAUUCUGGUGUUCAUGUGGAGUUAUGCAAGUCACAGUCAAGCUGUUUAAAUCUCCGCGUGCAGCCCCAGCAGAACAUGGCAGUGUUUAGUGCUGAUAAGAUAUGAGUCUGCAGUUCUGAGUGCUUGCUGACAAGCAUUCCUACCACGUGAGAGCAAGUUAUUGCUGAAGAAAAUGUGAAUGCCUUACACUCUAUGACAAUGUUGCAAAUCAGAAAUAGUUGUAGUUACCUCAUGCUAGUUCCCUCUAAGGCAGAUCCUAAGGUUCCAGUUAAAUGUUUAUGAAUCAGUACCUUGGCAAAAAAAGACACCACCUGUCACAUUUUGUCUAAACUCUCAGAAAACUGGGAAAAUGUGCUGAAUGAGGCAGUUAGUGACGGUGUCAUACAGGAAUUACUGCAUGACACCGUGAGUUAUGAUAUACUGCACAUUCCUUUCUGGCAGAGAAACAGAGCAGAAACUGCACAGCUGACUGAGUGUGAGGAGGAGAAAUCUGAACAUCAUCAUUUAAGUAAGAAAAAUGUGUAAUUUUUUCAGGCAAAGUAGAAACAGAUACAACAGAUUCAUUUCCUAUGAACUUAAAAAGCAGGUGCAGAAUUUUCAUGUAGAUACACAGGAGUUACAGUUGCCUUAAUAAUAGAUUGUAAGGUGUAGGAAAAAAUGCAAAAAUGGUCCAGGGAUGUUUUUAAAAAUGCUUCUGGAGCAAAGUAAUAAAUGGAAGAGCAGCAUUCAGGAUGGCAGAUGCAGUGCCACUCCAGGUAAGAACACAGGCUUUGGGAUUGGAGUUCACAGUACAGGAGGCUGUUUGUGCAAGAUUACCCAGCUCUAGGGUUGUGUGCUAAAUACUGCAAAGAGAGAGUGAGAUGGAAUAUAGUAUACAUAGAGUCCCUCAUCUGCUAAGACAUUUAACAUAUGUCAUCAGGCAGAUGAGUCGUCUGACUGAGAUCUGGAUGAGCAAGCCUUUAAAAAUCUAUUGGACACUUACACUGCUAAGUUACAUAUCAAGAAAUAUGAUUCUAUUACAUGUGAUUCCAGGAAAUAUCAGGGAUUUUUUUCCCCAUCGCUUUCAUUUGUGUUAUUUUAGUACUGCUUGGUGGGACUCGGUGGGACAAAUGCUCUUGUGUAAUAAUCAAUAACGGUGAAUUGUACUGUCUUUGAAUAACCUGCAGAUCUUUAUACAAGCCUUCUAAACCGUCUGUCAAAGUUCAUUCAGAUGAGAUCAGAUAAAGUACAAAACGAUACAUAAAUAAAAUACAGUUUGAGGUUGCAGCCAUUUUGUCUUAUCACUUUGCCCGGGAGAGGUCAUGUGUCAUAACUGUGUUUAUUGGGAUUAGUGGCUGUCUUUCUACCAACGAGAAAUGUGUAACUGCCUUUAUGCUGCUGGCAGUUGUAUUGUGCCACGGAAGCCUUGUUUCUGUCCGGACGUGAGCAGCCUGCUUGUUUCUUCGUUAUUUGCCAAUUGCAGUGGAAAUGAUGCGGCACAAAAAAACUGCUGACUGAAGAGUCUGUUGUAUUUUCUAGGUACUUUCUGGUUUUGAAAUAAAACUAAAGAUUAUUGCAA